UAUUGUGUUCGGGCAAUCAAAAAAAAAAAAUUCUGAACCAAUAAUUCAUCCUGGUCAUGUACUUUAAAAGUAAUACGAAUGGAACAAAAUGAAAGAAAGCUUAAGGAGUUAACAUAGUCCAUGGCAAGAAAUAGAAUUUUUUCGAAAGAAAUAGAACAUAGAGGAAAUAGAAUUUUUUGAAAGAAAUUGAACAUAGCAUCGGUAAUCAUCUCAAGGGAGGGGAGAAACUAACAAGCAAU
rnacentral:lncRNA from 1 species